UCAUUUGCGCAUCGCUAUUGUUAAUUUAGACCUUUUUUGUAAGACAUUUGCGCAUCGUUCGAUUUUUGGGUUAUAUAUCAUUUGCGCAUCAGCCGUUUAAAAGGUCUUACAUCAUUUGCGCAUCAAUAUUAUUUAACAAUAGAAUUUUAAAAAAGGUGUACACCCAAAAGUGCUAGUUGUUUUCUAACUUUGAUCUUGAAAUUCAUUCAUCAACUUUCAAAUAUUGUACAGAUAUUUCUGUUUUAAAAUAUGUUUGACGACGCAUAUGGUAGAGAGAAAUGGAGAGAUUUUGUGAUAGCAGCGAUGGCACUUAAUGGGCCGAUAAGCUGAGAAUAUUGAGAUAAUAUUGUGUAGGAUUAUCAUUAUAGUUAGCAAUAACAUAACUAAGAUAAAAAAAUUGUUAUGCCUCAAUAAAAAUUGAUGAACAUUGAAGAUUUAUUCAAUUUAUUUUAAUUAUAUGGGUAAAACGGACAAUGCUCAAACGAUAAUUAGCGCUGAUGCGCAAAUGAUGUACGAUAUUUUGGCACAGGUAAACAGACGAUGCGCAAAUGAUGUACGGCCGU